rfam:Helobdella robusta unplaced genomic scaffold HELROscaffold_801, whole genome shotgun sequence.
GCAGUCGUGGCCGAGUGGUUAAGGCGAUAGACUAGAAAUCUAUUGGGCUCUGCCCGCACAGGUUCAAAUCCUGUCGACUGCG